rnacentral:rRNA from 1 species
UGGGGAAUAUUGGACAAUGGGCGAAAGCCUGAUCCAGCCAUGCCGCGUGUGUCAAGAAGGUCUUCGGAUUGUAAAGCACUUUAAGUUGGGAGGAAGGGCAGUAAGCGAAUACCUUGCUGUUUUGACGUUACCGACAGAAUAAGCACCGGCUAACUCUGUGCCAGCAGCCGCGGUAAUACAGAGGGUGCAAGCGUUAAUCGGAAUUACUGGGCGUAAAGCGCGCGUAGGUGGUUCGUUAAGUUGAAUGUGAAAGCCCCGGGCUCAACCUGGGAACUGCAUCCAAAACUGGCGAGCUAGAGUAGGGCAGAGGGUGGUGGAAUUUCCUGUGUAGCAGUGAAAUGCGUAGAUAUAGGAAGGAACACCAGUGGCGAAGGCGACCACCUGGGCUCAUACUGACACUGAGGUGCGAAAGCGUGGGGAGCAAACAGG